rnacentral:rRNA from 1 species
UACGUAGGGUGCAAGCGUUAAUCGGAAUUACUGGGCGUAAAGCGUGCGCAGGCGGCUUUGCAAGACAGAUGUGAAAUCCCCGGGCUUAAUCUGGGAACUGCAUUUGUGACUGCAUGGCUGGAGUGCGGCAGAGGGGGAUGGAAUUCCGCGUGUAGCAGUGAAAUGCGUAGAGAUGUGGAGGAACACCGAUGGCGAAGGCAGCCUCCUGGGCCAGCACUGACGCUCAUGCACGAAAGCGUGGGGAGCAAACAGG